AAUAAUUGAGGAAAUAACUUACUAAAACCUUGUUUAAAUUACAAAAUAGCCUCUUUUAAUAUGAGAAUCAAUACAUGCUUGUUAUAACAUGACCUAGAUCUUGCAAUAUUGCAAUUUACAUGUAUUAUUUUAUAGCCGUAUCAUUGUUUAAAGCUACAGUGUGCAUGAUUUAGUGUCAUCUAGUGGUGAGAUUGUAGAUUGCGUUAUGCCAUUGCUGGUCAUGAUUUUGUUUUCCUUUGCUUCCCUUUUCUCCAAUGACGAUGGAGGUUCCUGUGUCCCUGCCUUCUCUUGUGAUAAGCAAUAGUAUGUCAUAGUAGCACGUAGGUGCCUUGUGGGCUCCUGUAUCAAUAUGGUGGUGCAAAAAGGUUGCUGCCAUGAGGUCGGUGGCUCCCACAGCGAUAUGGAGGCUUCACUCUGACCUGAUGAAAACACAGUGAUAAGAUCAGAAGAGCACACAUCUGA